rnacentral:rRNA from 1 species
ACAAGCGGUGGAGCAUGUGUUAAGUUCACGCAACGCGCAGAACCUUACCUGGGCUUGACAUCCCGAUCGUACUUUCUGGAAACAGUUAGGUCAGUUCGGCUGGAUCGGUGACAGGUGCUGCAUGGCUGUCGUCAGCUCGUGUCGUGAGAUGUUGGGUUAAGUCCCGCAACGAGCGCAACCCUUGUCCUUAGCUGCCAGCAUUAAGUUGGGCACUCUAAGGAGACUGCCGGUGUUAAACCGGAGGAAGGUGGGGAUGACGUCAAGUCCUCAUGGCCCUUAUGUCCAGGGCUACACACGUGCUACAAUGGCCGGUACAAAGGGCUGCAAUACCGCAAGGUGGAGCGAACCCCAAAAAGCCGGUCUCAGUUCGGAUUGGAGUCUGCAACUCGACUCCAUGAAGUUGGAAUCGCUAGUAAUCGCGGAUCAGCAUGCCGCGGUGAAUACCGGUUCCCGGGCCUU